rnacentral:rRNA from 1 species
GACGAACCGUGCGAACGUUGUCCGGAAUUACUGGGUGUAAAGCGCGCGUAGGCGGUAGGCCAAGUCUGCUGUGAAAUCGCCCGGCUCAACUGGGCGCGGUCGGUGGAAACUGGUCAACUGGAGGACGGUAGAGGCGAGUGGAAUUCCCGGUGUAGUGGUGAAAUGCGUAGAGAUCGGGAGGAACACCAGUGGCGAAGGCGGCUCGCUGGGCCGGACCUGACGCUGAGGCGCGAAGGCGUGGGGAGCGAACGGG